CGACAGAGACAUAACGACAUAGGAGAAAUAACAUGGUUUUUUUUUUCUUAUGUCGUCAUGUCAAUGUU
rnacentral:pre_miRNA from 1 species